ACGCCCAUCGCGCUUGUACAUGUUGUCGUACUGCUAAUGCCCCAAAACCGCCCAAAGUUGGAUGGCCAUAUAACAAAUAUUUAGGAACCCCGGUGAGUCGUCUCUCUUGUGCGACCGGUCCGAGGUUCCUAUCAAUAAGCUUGGCCGCUUUAGCCUCAAUAUUCAUGAGUUGAGCUUCUGGGGGAAACCCCCCGUGUUCCAUAUGCCACGUAAAACGAUGCAGCCCAUAUGCAGCCGCUGCAUGUGCACGUCCAAAAAUGGAAAGAUUUAACACCGAAAUGCGUCGAAACC
rnacentral:lncRNA from 1 species